rnacentral:rRNA from 3 species
AAACCAACAGGGAUUGCCCCAGUAACGGCGAGUGAAGCGGCAACAGCUCAAAUUUGAAAUCUGGCCCCCAGGGUCCGAGUUGUAAUUUGCAGAGGAUGAUUUUGGCGAGGUGCCUUCCGAGUUCCCUGGAACGGGACGCCACAGAGGGUGAGAGCCCCGUCUGGUUGGACGCCGAGCCUAUGUAAAUCUCCUUCGACGAGUCGAGUAGUUUGGGAAUGCUGCUCUAAAUGGGAGGUAUAUGUCUUCUAAAGCUAAAUAUUGGCCAGAGACCGAUAGCGCACAAGUAGAGUGAUCGAAAGAUGAAAAGCACUUUGAAAAGAGGGUUAAAUAGUACGUGAAAUUGUUGAAAGGGAAGCGCUCAUGACCAGACUUGGGCCCGGUGAAUCAUCCAGCGUUCUCGCUGGUGCACUUUGCCGGGCUCAGGCCAGCAUCAGUUUGCCCCGGGGGAUAAAGGCUUUGGGAAUGUGGCUCCUCCGGGAGUGUUAUAGCCCAUUGCAUAAUAUCCUGGGGCGGACUGAGGUUCGCGCAUCUGCAAGGAUGCUGGCGUAAUGGUCAUCAGCGAC